UGGGGAAUAUUGCACAAUGGGCGCAAGCCUGAUGCAGCCAUGCCGCGUGUAUGAAGAAGGCCUUCGGGUUGUAAAGUACUUUCAGCGAGGAGGAAGGUGUUGUGGUUAAUAACCACAGCAAUUGACGUUACUCGCAGAAGAAGCACCGGCUAACUCCGUGCCAGCAGCCGCGGUAAUACGGAGGGUGCAAGCGUUAAUCGGAAUUACUGGGCGUAAAGCGCACGCAGGCGGUUGAUUAAGUCAGAUGUGAAAUCCCCGAGCUUAACUUGGGAACUGCAUUUGAAACUGGUCAGCUAGAGUCUUGUAGAGGGGGGUAGAAUUCCAGGUGUAGCGGUGAAAUUGCGUAGAGAUCUGGAGGAAUACCGGUGGCGAAGGCGGCCCCCUGGACAAAGACUGACGCUCAGGUGCGAAAAGCGUGGGAGCAAAACA
rnacentral:rRNA from 1 species